rnacentral:rRNA from 1 species
AACGAACGCUGGCGGCGCGCUUAACACAUGCAAGUCGAACGAGAAGGCGUAGCAAUACGCUUGUAAAGUGGCGAACGGGUGAGGAAUACAUGGGUAACCUACCCUCGAGUGGGGGAUAACCCGCCGAAAGGCGGGCUAAUACCGCGUACGCUUCCGAUCUUGCGGGAUCGGAAGGAAAGCUGUCCCUUGGGGAUGGCGCUCAAGGAUGGGCUCAUGUCCUAUCAGCUUGUUGGUAGGGUAACGGCCUACCAAGGCAUCGACGGGUAGCUGGUCUGAGAGGACGAUCAGCCACACUGGCACUGCGACACGGGCCAGACCCCUACGGGAGGCAGCAGUGAGGAAUAUUGCGCAAUGGGCAAAGCCUGACGCAGCGACGCCGCGUGGGGAUGAAGGUCUUCGGAUGUAAACCCCUUUCGGGUGGGAAGACGGCCCUAGACAACUAGGGCGGACGGUACCGCCAGAAGCAGCCACGGC